UACGUAGGGGGGCUAGCGUUGUCCGGAAUCAUUGGGCGUAAAGCGCGUGUAGGCGGUCCGGUAAGUCCGCUGUGAAAGUCGAGGGCUCAACCCUCGAAUGCCGGUGGAUACUGUCGGGCUAGAGUGCGGAAGAGGCGAGUGGAAUUCCUGGUGUAGCGGUGAAAUGCGCAGAUAUCAGGAGGAACACCUAUUGCGAAGGCAGCUCGCUGGGACGUUACUGACGCUGAGACGCGAAAGCGUGGGGAGCAAACAGG
rnacentral:rRNA from 1 species